rnacentral:rRNA from 1 species
AUUGAACGCUGGCGGCAGGCCUAACACAUGCAAGUCGAGCGGCAGCACUUCGGGUGGCGAGCGGCGAACGGGUGAGUAAUACAUGGGAAUCUGCCUGGUAGUGGGGGAUAACUCUGGGAAACUAGAGGUAAUACCGCAUACGCCCUACGGGGAAAGCGGGGGAUCUUCGGACCUCGCGCUAUCAGAGGAGCCCAUGUCCGAUUAGCUAGUUGGUGAGGUAAAGGCUCACCAAGGCGACGAUCGGUAACUGGUCUGAGAGGAUGGUCAGUCACACUGGAACUGAGACACGGUCCAGACUCCUACGGGAGGCAGCAGUGGGGAAUAUUGGACAAUGGGGGGCAACCCUGAUCCAGCCAUGCCGCGUGUGUGAAGAAGGCCUUCGGUUGUAAAGCACUUUAAGUACAGGGAGGAAGGCGUCGCAGAUAAUAAUCUGCGGGAGUGACGUUACCUGCAGAAUAAGCACCGGC